CAGGAACAUAUGCACGCAAGGCUGUCACUACAGAUGCAUCACGGAUCAUACCGAUCGCAUAACAGACUUCUCGACCCUACUACGUAUCAGCGGAGGUCCAAUAACUCCGCAUGACUCACUGAUGCGAGACUCCAAGCUUUCCUCUUCUGGCGGCGCCGCCAUCUUUCUGGGGGAUUCCUCUGGUAGUGCUGCGCCAGUCUCGCGAUGUGGAGGCCUGAAGUUCUCGCGCGGCCCAGUUUUCUGACGUAUAACUCAUAUGCUGUAAUAUGAAGAAAAUAAAAACGGAUGCAAGAAAAAUGGGUCCUCCCUUUCCUUUCGUCAAGGAUUCGAGAAGGUGAUCCAUUCAAAUACAAUACAAGGUCCUUAAACCAUUGGUCAGACUGUAAGACUUAAUCAGCACUUUUCUGUAAAUUGACCACUCACCUACUAGUUUGGAAUUACCCAAGUGUUAUUACUCACAUUGUUUUAAAUAACUGUCAAAUUAUUAAAGUAUAUAAAUAAUGCUACCAACUGAUUAAUGUAGUUAAGCUUCCUAACUGUCGACUAGUUUUGUCAACUAACAAUCUACUAGUUCUCAUUACAUAACCCUGAUCUGCUGGACAAGGGCAUUUGCCAAGAAAGGGAAUACUACUAUUCUGGAAACUGGUUCAAUAAAUUGAGAUCACGGUGUUAUGGAUCUG